GGUUAACUUAACAGGAGUGAAAAAGUUUACAGCCGGCAUCGGCGGAUCUGUGUGUGUGCGUGGGGGGGUAUGGGUGUGUGGGUGACAGCCGACCGGUCGUGCUCGUGUGUACCCGCGGGACCCAACAAGAGUUUGUUUUCAGUGGUCUUUCCACAGCCAUUGUUCCCUCCGGCACGGCACCGGACCAGGUGGCGUUCAGAAGCUUGGACACUGCAGGAAGAAAGCUGGACUUCCGUCUCAAUGGUCAUCUUGACUUGGGAGUGAGACCCCUAUAAAACUAAGCAAUCCAAGAUUGUUGCAGAAGACAGCUUUGAGCUUCCAGAAAGAAUACCCUUUCGACGAAAAAGAAGACCCAGCCA